rnacentral:rRNA from 1 species
CCUACGGGUGGCUGCAGUGGGGAAUAUUGGACAAUGGGCGAAAGCCUGAUCCAGCCAUGCCGCGUGUGUGAAGAAGGCCUUCGGGUUGUAAAGCACUUUCAGUGGGGAAGAAAGCCUUGGGGCUAAUACCCUCGAGGAAGGACAUCACCCACAGAAGAAGCACCGGCUCAACUCCGUGCCAGCAGCCGCGGUAAUACGGAGGGUGCGAGCGUUAAUCGGAAUUACUGGGCGUAAAGCGCGCGUAGGCGGUCUGAUAAGCCGGUUGUGAAAGCCCCGGGCUCAACCUGGGAACGGCAUCCGGAACUGUCAGGCUAGAGUGCAGGAGAGGAAGGUAGAAUUCCCGGUGUAGCGGUGAAAUGCGUAGAGAUCGGGAGGAAUACCAGUGGCGAAGGCGGCCUUCUGGACUGACACUGACGCUGAGGUGCGAAAGCGGGGGUAGCAAACAGGAUUAGAUACCCCUGUAGUC